rnacentral:rRNA from 1 species
UACGUAGGGUGCAAGCGUUAAUCGGAAUUAUUGGGCGUAAAGCGUGCGCAGGCGGUCUUGCAAGACAGAUGUGAAAUCCCCGGGCUCAACCUGGGAACUGCAUUUGUGACUGCAAGGCUGGAGUACGGUAGAGGGGGAUGGAAUUCCGCGUGUAGCAGUGAAAUGCGUAGAUAUGCGGAGGAACACCGAUGGCGAAGGCAAUCCCCUGGACCUGUACUGACGCUCAUGCACGAAAGCGUGGGGAGCAAACAGG